AUACGUAGGGUGCGAGCGUUAAUCGGAAUUACUGGGCUUAAAGCGUGCGCAGGUGGUUUUGUAAGUCAGAUGUGAAAUCCCCGGGCUUAACCUGGGAACUGCGUUUGAAACUGCAAGGCUAGAGUGUGGCAGAGGGGGGUGGAAUUCCGCGUGUAGCAGUGAAAUGCGUAGAGAUGUGGAGGAACACCGAUGGCGAAGGCAGCCCCCUGGGUCAGCACUGACGCUCAGGCACGAAAGCAUGGGGAGCAAACAGGAUUAGAAACCCCGGUAGUCC
rnacentral:rRNA from 1 species